rnacentral:rRNA from 1 species
AGUUCCCUUCGGGGAGCGAGUAGAGUGGCGCACGGGUGAGUAACACGUAGGUAAUUUGCCUUCGGGUGGGGAAUAACUCAGGGAAACUUGAGCUAAUACCGCAUAAUGCAGCGGCUCGACAUCGAGACAGUUGUUAAAGCGGGGGAUCUCGCAAGAGACCUCGCGCCUGAAGAGGAGCCUGCGGCAGAUUAGCUAGUUGGUAAGGUAAUGGCUUACCAAGGCGACGAUCUGUAACCGGCCUGAGAGGGCGGUCGGUCACACUGACACUGACAUACGGGUCAGACUCCUACGGGAGGCAGCAGUCGGGAAUUUUGGGCAAUGGGCGAAAGCCUGACCCAGCAACGCCGCGUGAAGGAUGAAAUUUUUCGGAAUGUAAACUUCGCAAGAACGGGAAGAAUAAGUAGAAGUGAAUACCUUCUAUGAUGACGGUACCGUUUGUAAGCUCCGGCUAACUCCGUGCCAGCAGCCGCGGUAAUACGGGGGGAGCAAGCGUUGUUCGGAUUUACUGGGCGUAAAGGGCGCGUAGGCGGCGUGACAAGUCACUUGUGAAAUCUCCGGGCUUAACUCGGAACGGUCAAGUGAUACUGUCGUGCUAGAGUACAGAAGGGGCAACUGGAAUUCUCGGUGUAGCGGUGAAAUGCGUAGAUAUCGAGAGGAACACCUGCGGCGAAGGCGGGUUGCUGGGCUGAUACUGACGCUGA